UACGUAGGGUGCGAGCGUUAAUCGGAAUUACUGGGCGUAAAGCGUGCGCAGGCGGUGAUGUAAGACAGGUGUGAAAUCCCGGGGCUCAACCUCGGAACUGCAUUUGUGACUGCAUCGCUGGAGUGCGGCAGAGGGGGAUGGAAUUCCGCGUGUAGCAGUGAAAUGCGUAGAUAUGCGGAGGAACACCGAAGGCGAAGGCAGUGUCCUGGCGCGUAUCUGACGCUGAGGUGCGAAAGCCAGGGGAGCGAACGGG
rnacentral:rRNA from 1 species